rnacentral:rRNA from 1 species
UGAUGCAAUCAUUACCACACUAAUGACCGGAUUCUCAUCAGAACUCCGAAGUUAAGCGUUUGGGCAGAGAGUAGUACUAGGAAAAAAAAAAAGGAAAACCGGGUGACCCCUUUGGCAAAGUCCUCUGUUGCAUCCC